rnacentral:rRNA from 1 species
AUUGGACGCUGGCGGCAGGCUUAACACAUGCAAGUCGAGCGGGGUGAUGGUGCUUGCACUAUCACUUAGCGGCGGACGGGUGAGUAAUGCUUAGGAAUCUGCCUAUUAGUGGGGGACAACAUUUCGAAAGGAAUGCUAAUACCGCAUACGUCCUACGGGAGAAAGCAGGGGAUCUUCGGACCCUGCGCUAAUAGAUGAGCCUAAGUCGGAUUAGCUAGUUGGUGGGGUAAAGGCCUACCAAGGCGACGAUCUGUAGCGGGUCUGAGAGGAUGAUCCGCCACACUGGGACUGAGACACGGCCCAGACUCCUACGGGAGGCAGCAGUGGGGAAUAUUGGACAAUGGGCGGAAGCCUGAUCCAGCCAUGCCGCGUGUGUGAAGAAGGCCUUAUGGUUGUAAAGCACUUUAAGCGAGGAGGAGGCUACUCUAGUUAAUACCUAGAGAUAGUGGACGUUACUCGCAGAAUAAGCACCGGCUAACUCUGUGCCAGCCGCCGCCGUAACAC